CCGCGUGCAGGAAGACAGCCCACGGGUCGUAAACUGCUUUUAUUCGGGAAAAACCUAUCUACGUGUAGAUAGCAGAAUGUACCGAAGGAAAAAGGAUCGGCCAACUCCGUGCCAGCAGCCGCGGUAAUACGGAGGAUCCAAGCGUUAUCCGGAUUUAUUGGGUUUAAAGGGUGCGUAGGCGGCUUAUUAAGUCAGGGGUGAAAGACGGUGGCUCAACCAUCGCAGUGCCCUUGAUACUGAUGAGCUUGAAUACACUAGAGGUAGGCGGAAUGUGACAAGUAGCGGUGAAAUGCAUAGAUAUGUCACAGAACACCGAAUGCGAAGGCAGCGUACUAUGGUGUCAUUGACGCUGAGGCACGAAAGCGUGGGGAUCAAACAGGAUUAGAUACCCUGGUAGUCCACGCCCUAAACGAUGAAUACUCGCUGUUAGCGAUAUACUGUUAGCGGCUAAGCGAAAGCGUUAAGUAUUCCACCUGGGGAGUACGCCCGCAAGGGUGAAACUCAAAGGAAUUGACGGGGGCCCGCACAAGCGGAGGAGCACGUGGUUUAAUUCUAUGAUACGCGAGGAACCUUACCCGGGCUUGAAAGUUAGUGAAUUAUCUAGAGAUAGAUAAGUGA
rnacentral:rRNA from 1 species